rnacentral:lncRNA from 1 species
GCCUACUGCACUGCCUUGCAUGUGUACCUUAAUCAAAUUACAAAAAGCAAGAUACAGUCACGGUCAAGAUCCUUAUUUUGCAUUCAGCGAAAAGAAAAGAACCUGGUUAGAUGUGAUACCUUUUCUUCGGAGCUUCUUCACCCUCGAAUCUCAUCUUUGAAACGCUUGCCUACAGACAGCUUCUGGCUCUUAGCUUCGAGAUACCUAUUGUCCUACUUGUCCUGAUAAUAAAAGAUAUGUCAGCUUGGGUUUGCAGUCAAAUGAUUAUCAUCGAGCAUAUGCAAGCAACAGUACUAAAAAGGAACAAUGAGAUGAAAACAAAUGGUUGAUGCCUGUUUAAG